rnacentral:rRNA from 1 species
AAUACCCCAUAAUAUCCUUUAAUUGCAUAGUUGAAGGAUUAAAGCUCCGGCGGUUGAAGAUGGGCAUGCGUGGCAUUAGCUAGUUGGUGAGGUAACGGCUCACCAAGGCAACGAUGCCUAGGGGUCCUGAGAGGGUUAACCCCCACACUGGUACUGAGACACGGACCAGACUCCUACGGGAGGCAGCAGUAAGGAAUAUUGGGCAAUGGACGAAAGUCUGACCCAGCCAUGCCGCGUGCAGGAUGACUGCCCUAUGGGUUGUAAACUGCUUUUGUACAGGAAAAAACUCUCGGUCGUGCACCGGGACUGUUUGUACUGUACGAAUAAGCAUCGGCUAACUCCGUGCCAGCAGCCGCGGUAAUACGGAGGAUGCAAGCGUUAUCCGGAUUUAUUGGGUUUAAAGGGUGCGCAGGCGGAAUGAUAAGUCAGUGGUGAAAUCUCCCGGCUCAACCGGGAAACUGCCAUUGAUACUGUCGUUCUUGAGUACAGUUGAAGUGGGCGGAAUGUGUCAUGUAGCGGUGAAAUGCUUAGAUAUGACACAGAACACCGAUAGCGAAGGCAGCUCACUAAGCUGUAACUGACGCUCAUGCACGAAAGCGUGGGGAUCAAACAGGAUUAGAUACCCUGGUAGUCCACGCUGUAAACGAUGAUCACUCGUUGUUGGCGAUAUACAGUCAGCGACUGAGCGAAAGCAUUAAGUGAUCCACCUGGGGAGUACGACGGCAACGUUGAAACUCAAAGGAAUUGACGGGGGCCCGCACAAGCGGAGGAGCAUGUGGUUUAAUUCGAUGAUACGCGAG